AGAUCCUACGGGACGCAGCAGUGAGGAAUAUUGGUCAAUGGGCGAGAGCCUGAACCAGCCAAGCCGCGUGAGGGAUGAAGGUACAGAGUAUCGUAAACCUCUUUUGUCAGGGAACAAAGGCGGGGACGUGUCCCCGGAUGAGUGUACCUGAAGAAAAAGCAUCGGCUAACUCCGUGCCAGCAGCCGCGGUAAUACGGAGGAUGCGAGCGUUAUCCGGAUUUAUUGGGUUUAAAGGGUGCGCAGGUGGUCUGUUAAGUCAGCGGUCAAAGCCCGGGGCUCAACCCCGGCCCGCCGUUGAAACUGGC
rnacentral:rRNA from 1 species